UCAGAAUCACUCCGUGUGUCGGGACUGGUGGGUGUGUGCGCUUGUCAUGCAUGUCUGUGAAAUUAUGAAUGGACACAGAGCGUGGUGUGGUGUGAGAGAGACGCAGAGGAAGGGAGGGAUGGAGAGAGGAAAGGCGUAUCACUAGAGACACAGGCUUAUCAUCUGGCAGCACAGCCUCUCUGUCAAAGGUGUGGAAGGAGCCGGUUUCAGUGUUGACCAGUGCUCAGGACUCAGCAGGCAGGAAGCACCUCGGCAGAAGAAUUUCUAUUACAUUUAAGAGACGUUUUCCAGGGCCCUGAGCGAGUGAUCAAGAUAAACAGCCUCUUGUCCCUCCUGCACUUGCCAGAAACCUGCUGCACUUAUCCAACAUGGAGCAGAAGACGACGUCACCUCAGAAGCAUAUGGUGAAGAGCAGGUCCAAGUCUACAGAAGAAAUCCAGCAAGCCAAGAAGGCCUUCCAUAUACCCCAGAAGUCCCUUCCAGGUGGAUCAGAAUUAGACAAAGUGAAGGAAGGACAAGAAGAAUCUGAAACCCCUACAUCAGCAUCAGAAGAGCUGAAGUAAUAUACAGAAGUCUGGAACAAUGCAAACACACACACACACACAUUAAAUAUAUAGUACCACAGAUGCAUUUCAGAUCCACUUCUCCAUGUCUGUGUUAACUGCAAUCUGCGACUGCUUCACAAAUCUGAAUGUGGCUCAUUAACCUACAUGGAAGUCAUUUGGUGCUCAUAUACCGUCGAUUCCAAAACUAUUGGCACCCUUCCUGACAGUGAGUUCAGUAUGCUCAGGCGUCCUCACACAUCUCGCAUGAUUUGGAAAUUUGUAAUCUAGUUUCUGUUGUGCCCCUGAACAAAGCCAAGAAAAUUAAUCACUUAAUAUCAUUGUGUAAUUUAAUCUGUGUGAGUGUGUUUGUGUGUAUCUAGCAUCUAGCAUCUCAUCGAGAGUGUAUUCCCGAAAUUGCAUCCAAUUGAUGCAAUUGAUCCAGCUGAGCUCCAAAUCCAUCACAAUCCUGAUGAGGAAAAAAAACUUUACUCUAGAAGAAUAAAUGAAUGAAUGACCUUUUGCUCAUUUGAAUAAAGAGUGCCAAUGAUUCUGGAGUGGACUGAUAUAAAAUGCUUUGUCAUCAAAACCCAUGUGUCCUGUAGGCGUGGUCAGUGUAGACGUUGAAGAAUUGAGAUGCUGGGAUGUUGAGUUGUAUUGUAUUCAUCGGUGCGUGUUCAAAAUAAAUCUGGUAAACACAAA